AUUUAUUUCUGAAUAAGCCCAUCCUAUAGAAUUAUAAACCCACACUACCUAAAAGCUGGGUUCUACCUUCCCCACAAUUGAACUGAAUUCCUACUCCUGCAAUUGGCUUUUUAAAAUUAUGCAUGGAGCCCGCUAGGGGAGGAAUCUGAGGCCAAUACAUGCUCCAGCGAAGUGACAGCUCCUCAACGGCUCCCUCCAGGAGACAAGCAACCUGCCCUCAGUGCUCAGCCUGCCUGCUGGAACCCGAGACCUCUGCACUGCAGGUGCAGCACGCGUUGCUGAUGCCACGCAAGUGUAGAAGGGGGUCUGUAGGAAGACCACCAGCUCUAGGGACUGCAGGGGUGGGGCCUGAGUGGGUUAGGUCACCUGGGACUGGGAUGCUUGUGAUUGGUCAAGGGAGUGCUGAUCCUUGGAGAACUUACAAAAAAGGGAGGCAAACGAAAUAGGGCAGGGGAUGGGUCACUCCGAGACACUUGCUUCUCACCCCAAUAUCCUUACGUAAACUUUAACUUUGCUUAUACAUUUGCCUGAUUUCCGUUUUUAAGCCACUCAGUGCCUCUUUGGAGCCAACUCACACAGGCUCUAAAGAGAAGAGUAUCAAACACCCAGAAAUUUUGCAAGCCAGUUGUUAAGCUAUUGGCAAUUUGAAAUUGGCCACAGUGGGAGUAUUUUUUACACCACAGAUAUUGGCAAAUGUUACAAAUCAGGGUUGCUGAAGGAUUUUGGUCCAUAGAGCUGACUUUCCACUGCACCAAGUCAUUCUCCAUUGACUUUGCUUUCCUCCAGCAUGGUCUGACACGUUCCUGCCGGGAUUGUGGGCAGCUGCCCCUUGCUGUCUUUCUAACAUUAGCCCAUGCAUCUGUAAUCUUUCUGUGGGAACCACUGUUCUUCUGCCCUGCCCUUUUGUAAACUCUCCCCACUUGGAACGCAAAGUGAAAAUGAAGCCCUCGCUGCCAGAAACAGGGACACAGAGAAACACCUUGGAAACACUGCUCCUCCCAGUCGGCAGCACCAAAGGCUUCACAGCUCCAUGUAAUUUCACGCUCAACAUCAAGUGAUUCACAAUAGCACCUUGUAACCAGAAAAGGCACAAAGCGCCAUCCUCAUUGCUCUGCUGUCUGCAGGAAGCAGGAGGCUCUAUCUUCCAGCAUUGGUGGCCGCGGCCCUUGUGCCAGGCUGCCUGCACUUGGAGCUCAUCCAUCCCUGGUAGGAGCACCCGGACUCCACUCCAGAUGGUGGGAAGCCUGGCCAGUGGAGCGAGUUACCAGCUUCCGCCGAGUGGUGAGAACGAAUGACUCUAAUGUGUGUUUCCUUGGCGGCUUGACUUGCUGCUCCUUCAUUCUUGACAUUCGGCCAAGAUCCCUCCUGAUUUUCUAAUGAUCCCCCUGUAACAGCCUUGGAAAUCUCCCACUCACCAGAACUCAUGCAAACGUAUGCCAGAUGAACAGAAAAAGAAUAUGAUCUAAUUGUUUUUUCAGGCAAAAUGUGCAGUAACCAAGAGCAGGUUAGACCUGUUGAAAAUUCUUAUAGGCUGGUCAUUUGUGAGUCAUACUUACAUGACCCUGAAUUGCCUUGCUUGGGGUUAAUUGCAUGGUUUGGCCAGCUGCCUCUAUAAUUGGCUCGAUUUGGUUACAGAAGCCACUAAAACAAUGAUCUGAGGUCACUGGCUGUUUCAGACCAAGGGGCAGCAAAAUUGAAAGCAAAGCGACCAGCCAAAUUAACCAAUAAAAAGACCAAUUUGACGCUACACGGGAAAUAUAACCUUAUAUAAAUCUGGGGAGAGCAAUUAGUUUGAAACAUUUGCAAUUGUUGAUAUUUGACUGUUUUAAUCUUUUAAAAACGGCAAUUUUAAACAGCUCAGCCAAAUAGUCCCCUUGGUUCUCAAGCAAUCACUACUCUAACAUUUCAGAAUUGUCUGGGCUGGGGCUGGGGAGAAGUCAGCAGGAGAAAGAAACACAUCUCUCACCAUGCUUCCUGUGGUUCUGACACCUUCUUCUCAAGUACAGUUUAGUGGAAAGAGCCCUGGUUUAAGACUCAGGAGACCUAAUUUUAGCCCCAAUUGACUUCCUAUAGGGCCUUCGACAAGCCAUUUCUCCUUUAAGUCUCGUUCUGUUCAACUGAAACAAUAUCAUAAACAUUCUCGUGAUGCCGAAAUGAACUGACGGAUGGGAACAUGCUUUUUUAAAGUGAAAAUUAUUACACAGAUAAUUCAUAAAGGCUACACACAUUAUAGUUAUCAACUCCUAUUGAUAUGUGAGUGUGUAUACUCCCGCAGGAGAGAAUAAACUUUGAAUGCAACCAUAACUUAUUACCCCUUUGUUCCAGUGUCACUUCUGAUAGCAAACAAUGCCAAAACAGUAACAAAUUGCCAUUGUAUUUUCCAUUAGUCAUCAGAGUAUAAAAGAUUUGAUAAAUAGCGAGAAAACACAUUGGCUCUUUCGGGUGGGAAAUCCGUGUUAUUGACAGUAGCAAAUUACAUGUCUUUGAAAAAGAUGGUGUCACGGUUCUUAGAGAUUAUUUGCAUUGCUACUGAGACAUAAGAAAACCUCAAGGAGCUUUUAAAGGCCGUGUCUGUGAGAUGAAUGGUCUGGUGUCCUCACCCAGCCCCCCUUGUUCCAGCAUUCGUGUGACACUGCCGGGCAGCUGCCUUGGCAUGAGCCUUCUCUGUCCAAGAACAGACUGCCAGGCCUGAACACGGAGAGGAGGAACAGCCUCUGGGGUAUUCCCUGACUUUGGGGAGGCACGAUGACCAGGCUGGGGCCUGUGCUUUGGGGGAAAGCACACAAGGAGAUCGAGGGUGUUUUUUCUGUGUCCUCUGCUCCUGUCCUUGCCAUUGCCUCUGCGCAGCUGCCUCCUGUUCUUUCACUCCGGUGACAGCCCGGGCAGAUGCCUCCCUCCAGAGCCGCUGCCAGCCCUACUCCAUGGACAGCUGUCGCCACGGCCCCAGGAGAGCAGCGUGACCACCGGCACCAGCCAUGAGGAGGGCACAUCUGCAGAGAAUCCCCUACCCCUGGCUGCGGGCCUGAGGGCUCAGCGCCCUACUGUACAGGACGUUCCCAGCUGGCGCCACUUAACACGAGCCUCUUCUUCACUUGGUUUUUCACCUCUGAGAUGUUCCGCUCUGCUGCAAGCAAUAGGGUGUUUCACAGAUCCAUACUUGUCUUUACAAUUUCCAGGCUUAGGAAAUAUUUUUAAAUUUUAUUGAUGACCUUUCCAAAGUUUAAAUGAGUUAGCCCUUGGAUGUUAAGAGGAAAUAGUAUUUUAAAGACAAAGUAAAAGAAUGCCAAAUCUAUGAGGACAUUAUGCUAAGUGAAAUAAGCCAGUCACAAAAUGACAAGUAUUGCUGAUUCCACCUAUAUAAGGUCCUAGAUUAGUCAAACUCGUAGAGACUGAGAGUAGAAAGGGGAUGCCAGGGACUGCAGAGUGGGGCUAGGGAAGUGGGGAGUUAGGAUUUAACGUGUACAGAGUUCCAGUUCGGGAGGAUGGAAAGACUUCCGGAGGUUAGGCACAGGGGCUCAUGCCUAUAAUCUCCACACUUUCAGAGACCAAGGAAGGAGAACUGCUUGAGGCCAGGAGUUUGAAACCAGACUGGGCAACAUAGUGAGAUCCCAUCUCUACAAAAAAUUUAAAAAAUUAAACAGUGUGGGGACGUGAGCCUGUAGCCCCAGCUACUCAGGAGGCUGAGGUGAGAGGAUUGUUUGAACCCAGGAGGUUGAGGCCACAGUGAGCUGUAAUCACACCACUCCACUCCAGUCUGGGUAACAGAGCGACACCCUAUCUCAAAUAAAUAAAUAAAUCUUUUUAAAAAUAAAAGAAUUGGAUAUGAUGUUAAAUUUUAUGUUAUGUGUAUAUUGCCACAAUUUAAAAUUUUUUAAAGAAUACCAAAUCAAGAAGUGCUAAAGUUCAUGGAAUUACCUAUAUCAGAGGUGGUGGGAGUCAGGAGUAUGGAAAAGAACCCUUCAAAUGAAAAGGUUCAUGAUUAUCGAAAACAGCUUGUCCUGUUUUUACCAACUGGAAACUUUCUCUAGGAAAGCAGCUAUUCCUAAUGGCAUUUCUAAAAUUAUGCAAACACAAAACCAAAAAGAAGGCAGGCACCCAGUAAAGUUAUCUAAGACUUUGGUGGGAAAAUAAAUAAAUAAACCUGCCGCCUCACGGUUGUUUCUCCUCACCUACAAGGCUUUGAUUUCUGAGAUGGGGCCUGAAGCAGGAAUUCCUCACACAAUGGAUGCUCAAUUUGUCACAGGAUGUGCCUCUCCACUCUCAUACCAGAUAAAAGGUUAGCCUGGUUUUUCAUCUAGCUGUGUCUCCCUCAGAAUCAAAACUAUCGUCCUCCUCAGUGCUGGAUCGAGUCCUUUCAUCUUUAAUUUGACCAAAAUGGAAACCAGGAUCAUGAGAAUUCCUCGGGGCUGGUGUUGAAAGGAAUUUCCCCUGCUCUUGCCAGAGUCUCGAGGGGUGGCCUCCUUCCACGGGUGAGUAACCACAAGUCCAUGUGACCGAACAAACAGCAUAUUCUUUUGUUCAAAAGAGAAAAACAACAUUGAAGGAAAUCAGCUGAAGAAAAUUGAGAUGAAAGCCAGUCCACGCCUCAGCAUCCUGAGGAAAUGUUCUUCCUUGAUGCUCUGAGCUCUCUAAGAAGUUACCACAAAACCAAACCCAUCAGAAGUUUGCAGGACGUCCUUGUUUAGAGCUGGGAAAUAAACCACGAAACAGCGCAAAGGAGAGUCCAGGCCUGCCAAUGCUUCCGCGAACUCCUCGCCCCGACCUCAUCCUUCUCCAGCUCCUACCUGCAGGCCUCAGGCCUCCUGACCUCCAGGCUCCUUACCCUCCCGCUGGCCUCUGCUCUACACUCAUCUUUGUGCCCUGCUUCCAAUCAUGCCAGGCCUCGGGGUCCCUGUCUCUAACUUCACCAUGAGACUCAGGUGCUUCUCUACACUCCACCCUCUCCAACACUGUUUGGAAUCUCAGGCUUGGUCCCAAUCCUAUGGGCUAACUUUGAAAAGACCGCUGUUCAUAAGGAGAGAGAAAGGAGGAAGAGAUGAGAAAGGAAGACAGAGAAAGAAACUCUAUGAUCACGGUUUUUCCAAAAUUCAUGGUUAAAUUAGAACUUACUAUGUGCAAAUAUAGAAGCACGGGUCCACAGAGUUCCAGAGAAUGAAUGCUGACGACUAAGCACCAGCCUCCACUCCCUGCCCCAUAGUGAGUAUCCCUCCUCUGUGUGCUCAUGCUGUGAAUCCCCCCCAUUCUACCACUUCUCCCCUCAUCACUGGCUUGCUGUAGGAUCAGAAGUUCCUUAAGAACAAGAACCUUCUCCCAGUGUAUCCCCAGCACCUAAUACAGAAGGUAAUAAGGAGGAGGCAUCUGCUAAACGCUUGUUGAAGGAGUGAAAUUGAGAGACCAGGAAGGGCCUGCAGGCAUUGUGGUGAGCCUGCCUGUUGUCCACGUGGCUGCAGCAAGCAAACAUGGGUUUUCCUUGGAAGGACUGUGGGCCAUCAACCCAUUAAUUGCCGAGUUGCUUCUAUCAGGGCAAGGCUGUGGAAUCCUGUUAUCCUAGACAAUGAGGUACAGGGUGCAAGCAGAUCUGUGUGCUGCUGUCUUCCGGUAAACGGACCAAGUUCUCACUUCCCAUCCUCCUCCCCAGUCUCACCCACCCGUGCUCCCAAGAGAGCAAUUCAUCAUGUCAGUGUCUGGUGUUUUCUUGAAGGCCUGUGCUAAAUAAAGUGGAUUGUUUAUAAAGUGGGAUUAUUCUCCAAGCACAGAAGCAGAUUCCUGGGCAAGUUGUUGCGCUGAGUGUAAUUAAUGAAAUGCUUUUUGGACCAAAUUGUCCAAUGGAAUGAGAUCACCCACUGCCAGACUGGGUCAUUCAGACCCAAAAUAGAUGGUCUGUAUUCAAUCCUAGAUUUAAAACACACACACACACACACACACACACACACACACGUUGCUUAACGUCCUUCGCAUCAGGAAACUACCAGAAUACAGCAGACUGCGAUUGUUAGAAGUGUAGAGUCAAGGUACCAUUUCUAAUUUUCUCUUUUUUUCUAUAGUCAACACUUAUUCAGUGAGCCGAGAUCAUGCCACUGCACUCAAGCCUGGGGGACAGAGCGAGACUCCGUCUCAAAAAAAAAAAAAAAAAAAAAAAACAAAAAAACAAGAAAAUUUUCUAUGCAUCCAGGUUAACAUCUUUGAAGCAGCAUUUUCUGUCAUCCACUGGAGCACUCAUUUAGACAGGACUGCAUAACUGCAAAGCACCCUGGGGCCUGGAGCAAUGGUGAGCAUGAGGCAUUGUAACUUAGAUGUUGCUUCAGUGAGAAAAUGCUUCUCCUUCCUUCCAGAAGGAACCAACAGAAAAUGAGAGGAGAAAGAAAAGGGCUGAGAAAAGUAGCUUUGACCACUUAGCAACAGUAUUUCAGAAUCAUUACUCUAGAGAAAACAAGGAGAACUCAAAACUUUCAUAGAUUAUGUCCCACGCAAAGAGUUUGCAGUGACCUUCAGAAACAUUUUCAGUGACUUGGAGACCUUCCUGCAAUGCUGUGCAUAAAUCUGUCAGCAUUGCAAUCCAUGCAGCCUUAUCAUCUGAAUUCAAAUCCUCCCUGGACAUUCUGCAGACUCACCACUUAAAUUAGACAACCAGCUAGAAAACACUGUUGCAACACGAAAUCCAUUCCAAAACUCCACAAAGUGUUGCUCAUGGGGGAGAUCCAUCUGUGAGUCAAAAAGAGAUGAGCUCAAAGGAUUUGGGGGUUGCCUCUGUCUUCCCAGAAUGUAGCCGUUGCCUGGCAGACAGCAUUACAACAAGGGCUGUGCCUGCACUUGGGCCAAAGAGCUGUCGCUCCUGCUUUGAAAUCUUGGCAUGACCUGGAGGUUUCCCUCACUUUCUCCCUCCAUAACCCAAACCAUGGCCAAAACCCACUUUCUCGU
rnacentral:lncRNA from 1 species